rnacentral:rRNA from 1 species
UUGGAGGGCAAGUCUGGUGCCAGCAGCCGCGGUAAUUCCAGCUCCAAUAGCGUAUAUUAAAGUUGUUGCAGUUAAAAAGCUCGUAGUUGAAUUUCGGGAUCAAUACGUCGGUCGUGCUUUCGGGUACGUACUGGCGUCAUUGGUUUCUCCUUUCUGACGAACCAUGAUGUCAUUAAUUUGGUGUUAUGGGGAGUUAGGACUGUUACUUUGAAAAAAUUAGAGUGUUUAAAGCAGGCAUUAGCUUGAAUACAUUAGCACGGAAUAAUGAAAUAGGACGUUCGAUCCUAUUUUGUUGGUUUCUAGGAUCAACGUAAUGAUUAAUAGGGAUAGUUGGGGGCAUUAGUAUUCAAUUGUCAGAGGUGAAAUUCUUGGAUUUAUUGAAGACUAACUACUGCGAAAGCAUUUGCCAAGGAUGUUUUCAUUAAUCAAGAACGAAAGUUAGGGGAUCGAAGACGAUCAGAUACCGUCGUAGUCUUAACCAUAAACUAUGCCGACUAGGGAUCGGAUGAUGUUAAUUUUUUAAUGACUCAUUCGGCGCCUUACGGGAAAC